AACCCUAACCAUUAUAACUAUAUGGAGGGCGGACUCUCUGUUACACGGACCCUUCGUUUUGUUACUCCUAAUCUAGUGAUCUUUAUUAUUUCACAUGACACACAUGUUGUGGGUCAUUUGGCUUUCUGGAUAAAAAGGAUUAUAAAGCGAUUUUUGAGCCAAAAUAAUGCACGUAAAGAAACCAAAUUUGCUUGUUGACCCAUGUGGCAGACUAGCCGUAGCCAGGUGCUAAUUGAGAGAAAUCAAAGGAGAUGAGACUACAGAACAGGUGAAUCAGCAAGCCAAGUUUUCUUCCACGGAACCAUUUGCACGGGUUAUUUAGUUCCUGGCUUCAAUCAGCUUUGCAUGGCUAAACACAAUCCAUGGAAGAUAUAGACUUGGAAAGUGUGCCGGAGGAAGGUAGUGACAAUGAAAAGCCAUAUCAUUGUGAAACUGAACAUUGGAAUAGGCAUAUUUCAUUUGUUUAAAAAUCUUUUCAUUGGUAUUUUUGCAGGGAUAAGCUGUGGUUUUCAUUUUACAUGAUCUUAAUUGUACAUAUUUAAAAGUAAUGUUUAGUUGGACCAAGUAAUGUGUAAGAUGUCAAUGUGUAUAGAACAGUUUCGACAUUUGAAAAGACGCUGAUAUCUUUUAAAAUAUUUUCACUGUCCUAGAGACAAAAUUACUGUAUGGAAUAAUUUGUUAUAGACAUAUUUU